CCCUACGGGGGGCAGCAGUGAGGAAUAUUGGUCAAUGGGCGGUAGCCUGAACCAGCCAAGUAGCGUGAAGGAUGAAGGUUCUAUGGAUUGUAAACUUCUUUUAUAAAGGAAUAAAGUGAGGCACGUGUGCCUUUUUGUAUGUACUUUAUGAAUAAGGAUCGGCUAACUCCGUGCCAGCAGCCGCGGUAAUACGGAGGAUCCGAGCGUUAUCCGGAUUUAUUGGGUUUAAAGGGUGCGUAGGCGGGCUUUUAAGUCAGCGGUAAAAAUUCGGGGCUCAACCCCGUCCGGCCGUUGAAACUGGGGGC
rnacentral:rRNA from 1 species